rnacentral:rRNA from 1 species
GACGAACGCUGGCGGCGUGCCUAAUACAUGCAAGUCGAGCGGAAGUUGGAGAGCUUGCUCUUCAACUUUAGCGGCGGACGGGUGAGUAACACGUGGGCAACCUGCCCUGCAGAUCGGGAUAACUCCGGGAAACCGGUGCUAAUACCGAAUAGUUUUCGCCACCUCCUGGUGGCGUACGGAAAGACGGUUUCGGCUGUCACUGCAGGAGGGGCCCGCGGCGCAUUAGCUAGUUGGUGGGGUAACGGCCCACCAAGGCGACGAGGCGUAGCCGACCUGAGAGGGUGAUCGGCCACACUGGGACUGGGACACGGCCCAGACUCCUACGGGAGGCAGCAGUAGGGAAUCUUCCGCAAUGGACGAAAGUCUGACGGAGCAACGCCGCGUGAGUGACGAAGGUUUUCGGAUCGUAAAACUCUGUUGUGAGGGAAGAACAAGUACCAACUAACUACUGGUACCUUGACGGUACCUCACCAGAAAGCCACGGCUAACUACGUGCCAGCCGCCGCCGUAACAC